GUAACUGUUGUAGGAUAUCCACUUGGUGGAGAUACAAUCUCUGUGACAAAGGGUGUGGUAUCACGAAUUGAGGUUAGUAUGCUCAUGGAUCCUCUGAUCUGCUUGGUAUUCAGAUUGAUGCUGCAAUAAACCCUGGAAACAGUGGUGGUCCUGCCUUCAAUGAUCGUGGUGAGUGUAUUGGUGUGGCAUUCCAGGUUUUCAGAUCCGAAGACACUGAAAAUAUUGGAUAUGUUAUUCCAUCCACUGUGGUU